rnacentral:piRNA from 1 species
UACAGGACCCUGGACCAUCUGACAAGA